UGCGAGUCGAGCGAUGAAGCUGGAGCUUGCUCCGGCCGAUUAGUGGCGAACGGGUGAGUAACACGUGAGCAAUCUGCCCUUGACUCUGGGAUAACUGCGGGAAACUGUAGCUAAUACCGGAUACUUUCCUCGCUGGGCAUCCAGCAGGGAAGAAAGAAUUUCGGUCAAGGAUGAGCUCGCGGCCUAUCAGCUAGUUGGUGAGGUAAAGGCUCACCAAGGCGACGACGGGUAGCCGGCCUGAGAGGGUGACCGGCCACACUGGAACUGAGACACGGUCCAGACUCCUACGGGAGGCAGCAGUGGGGAAUAUUGCACAAUGGGCGAAAGCCUGAUGCAGCAACGCCGCGUGAGGGAUGAAGGCCUUCGGGUUGUAAACCUCUUUUAGCAGGGAAGAAGCGAAAGUGACGGUACCUGCAGAAAAAGCACCGGCUAACUACGUGCCAGCAGCCGCGGUAAUACGUAGGGUGCAAGCGUUGUCCGGAAUUAUUGGGCGUAAAGAGCUCGUAGGCGGUUUGUCACGUCUGCUGUGAAAAUCCGAGGCUCAACCUCGGACUUGCAGUGGGUACGGGCAGGCUAGAGUGCGGUAGGGGAGAAGGGAAUUCCUGGUGUAGCGGUGGAAUGCGCAGAUAUCAGGAGGAACACCAAUGGCGAAGGCACUUCUCUGGGCCGUAACUGACGCUGAGGAGCGAAAGCGUGGGGAGCGAACAGGAUUAGAUACCCUGGUAGUCCACGCCGUAAACGGUGGGUGCUAGCUGUGGGCCACAUUCCACGUGGUCCGUGACG
rnacentral:rRNA from 1 species